rnacentral:misc_RNA from 1 species
GAUGAAGAACGUAGCGAAAUGCGAUAAGUAAUGCGAAUUGCAGAAUUUCCGUGAGUCAUCGAAUCUUUGAACGCACAUUGCGCCCUGUGGUAUUCCGCAGGGCAUGUCUGUUCGAGCGUCAUUUCAACCCUCAAGCUCUGCUUGGUGUUGGGCCCUGCCCGCUGCGGCCGGCCCUAAAGACAGUGGCGGUGCCGCCUGGCCCUGAGCGUAGUACAUCUCUCGCUCCAGUGCCCGGUGGUAGCCUGCCAGAACCCCAACUCUCGUGGUUGACCUCGGAUCAGGUAGGGAUACCCGCUGAACUUAAGCAUAUCAAUAAGCGGAGGA